rnacentral:rRNA from 1 species
GAUCAUGGCUUAGGAUGAACGCUGGCGGCGUGCCUAACACAUGCAAGUCGAGCGAAGCACUUUGCUUAGAUUCUUCGGAUGAAGAGGAUUGUGACUGAGCGGCGGACGGGUGAGUAACGCGUGGGUAACCUGCCUCGUACAGGGGGAUAACAGUUAGAAAUGACUGCUAAUACCGCAUAAGACCACAGCACCGCAUGGUGCGGGGGUAAAAACUCCGGUGGUAUGAGAUGGACCCGCGU